GGGGGGCAUAGGGGAGUCCGCAGGGGUCUUUAGGGGGUGUUGGGGUCUUGUAGGGGAUGUAGGGCAGCGUGUGGGGAUCGGAAGGAAAUAUGGGGGGGCUGAUGGGGGUCUCACAGGGACGUGUUGGGAAUGCUUGGGAGGGGGAGGGGGGCAUGGGCGUCCCAUAGGGCACGUGGGGGGCACGUGGGGGUCCCAUAGGGCACAUAGGGGUCCCAUAGGGCACACGGAGGGCACGUAGGGGUCCCAUAGGGCACAUGGAGGGCACGUGGGGGUCCCAUAGGGCACGUGGGGGUCCCAUAGGGCACAUGGAGGGCAUGUGGGGGUCCCAUAGGGCACAUGGAGGUUCUAUAG
ensembl:lncRNA